AUGCUCCAGGAGGCACUGGGAAGACAUAUGUUCAAGGCGUUGCUUGCUAAGGUGCAUUCAAUGGGUGAGAUAGCCAUUGCCACUGCUACAUCAGGUAUAGAAGCCUCGAUAUUACCUGGAGGCAUGUGUGGUUUCACAAAGCAAAGUGGUACGGCAAAAUUUUCGAAAGAGGCGUCCUUGAUAAUUUGGGAUGAAGUUGCCAUGACAAAGCGUCAAGCCGUGGAGGCGCUUGAUAGGUCACUCCAAGACAUAAUGGGAUGUGCUUUGCCAUUUGGGGGGAAGAUUGUCGUUUUUUGUGGAGAUUUUAGGCAGGUCCUUCCAGUGGUUCCAAAAGGGACAAGAGCACAGGCUGGCCCUUUGUUCUCUGAGUAUCUCUUAAGGAUUGGCAAUGGAAUCGAAGAAACGAUAGGUGAUGAUUAUGUGCGUCUCCCUGAGGACAUCGUGAUCGGUCAUACUGAUGAUGAAACUGCAAUCAAUAGGCUAUUCAAAGAAGUUUCCCCCUCUCUUAGUGACAAUACUAAAUAG
rnacentral:rRNA from 1 species